rnacentral:lncRNA from 1 species
CCCCAGGGACCAGGCUGAAGCUGACAUCGCCUGCUAGGUCCAGGCUUCAACGUGCCCGCGGGGCUUUGCAGCAGGCACAGCCUUCCAGCCUUCCCAAACUCGCCCCACCGGACAGAGGGAAGAAAAGUAAUUCUGCACCUGCCAGUUGCCUCGCGCGAAGCAGGGAAGCACCUGCUGCCAAGGUUGGGAGUUGUAAACAACCCUCCUCAAAGCUUCCUACAGGAAUUCCUACUGUGGCUUCCCGCUCCUCACUGCGGCCUCUGGAAAAAGUGAUUUUGUCCAAGCAUUUAUGCCUCAAUAAAGAAUCAACUAGAGAGGAGCUGGUGUGCAAUAGGACCCAAGAGCUGAAGGAAAAUGAUGAGAGCAAAGAAAGGCUGGUUGCAGCAAGCAUUGUCUUGGGAGCAGGUAGAAAUAACCAGACCUGGGAGUAUGUGGAGUCCUCUUUGUCCAGUGAGUUGUCCUCUGGCCUGACUUCAGGGUGUGAAGAUGCAGUCCCUGCUGAGCAGUCUGCAGGUGAUCAGCUGUCCCAGGAACUGGAGCGUGUGAAGAAAGAGCUGGAACGAGUGAAGGGCGAGCUUGCUGACAAGACUGCCCAGUGUGAAGUCUAUCAGCAGACAAUCUCCUCCUUGCAGGCUCAGCUCAGAGCAGCAGGAAUCUGUCUGAAGGAUGCCAGCAGUGUUUGACAGUGGUGACCUGGGGAGAGACUGACAGCUGGGACAUGGGGACAAAAAGCCACUCUCCAGCUGUGUGAGCUCCUGGGCCAGUGGUAUAUGUGGAGCUCUUGAAUAAAUUAUUUUUUUAACCCUUUGUAUGUAAAAUA